GAUGAACGCUGGCGGCGUGCCUAAUACAUGCAAGUCGAGCGAACAGACGAUGAGCUUUUUCUCCUGCCGUUAGCGGCUGACGGAUGAGUAACAAGUGCAUCACAUACCUCUAAUACUUGGAUAACUUCGUGAGACCGGUGCCACUAACGGAUCAUACAUUGAACCGCUUAGUUCAAUAGAUAUACGCGCUUUUCCCGUCACAUUUAGCUGAUUCCGCGUCGCAUUAGCUAGUUGGUAAGGUAACGGCCUACCAAGGCUACGAUGCGUAGCUGACCUGAGAGGGUGAUCGGCCACACUGGAACUGAGACACGGUCCAGACUCCUACGGGAGGCAGCAGUAGGGAAUAUUGCGCAAUGGGCGAAAGCCUGACGGAGCCACGCCGCGUGAGUGAUGAAGGUCUUCGGAUCGUAAAACCCUGUUGUUAGGGAAGAACAAAUGUGUAAGUAACUAUGCACGUCUUGACGGUACCUAAUGAGAAAGCCACGGCUAACUACGUG
rnacentral:rRNA from 1 species